rnacentral:rRNA from 1 species
GAUGAACGCUGGCGGUGUGCCUAAUACAUGCAAGUAGAACGCUGAAGGAAGGAGCUUGCUCUUUCCGGAUGAGUUGCGAACGGGUGAGUAACGCGUAGGUAACCUGCCUGGUAGCGGGGGAUAACUAUUGGAAACGAUAGCUAAUACCGCAUAACAGUAGAUGUUGCAUGAUAUCUACUUAAAAGGUGCAAUUGCACCACUACCAGAUGGACCUGCGUUGUAUUAGCUAGUUGGUGAGGUAACGGCUCACCAAGGCGACGAUACAUAGCCGACCUGAGAGGGUGAUCGGCCACACUGGGACUGAGACACGGCCCAGACUCCUACGGGAGGCAGCAGUAGGGAAUCUUCGGCAAUGGACGGAAGUCUGACCGAGCAACGCCGCGUGAGUGAAGAAGGUUUUCGGAUCGUAAGGCUCUGUUGUAAGAGAAGAACGAGUGUGAGAGUGGAAAGUUCACACUGUGACGGUAUCUUACCAGAAAGGGACGGCUAACUACGUG